UACAGAGGUCUCAAGCGUUUGUUCGGAUUCAUUGGGCGUAAAGGGGUGCGUAGGUGGCGCGCUAAGUCAGGUGUGAAAAUUUCGGAGCUUAACUCCGAAACUGCAUUUGAUACUGGCGUGCUUGAGGACUGGAGAGGAGACUGGAAUUCACGGUGUAGCAGUGAAAUGCGUAGAGAUCGUGAGGAAGACCAGUGGCGAAGGCGGGUCUCUGGACAGUUCCUGACACUGAGGC
rnacentral:rRNA from 1 species